rnacentral:misc_RNA from 1 species
ACUAAAAGAAGGGAUUUUUUUUUUUAAUCCUCUUCCUGGUCCAAAUCAGAUUUCUGUUUAUAGGGUUUGGUUCUUUUUUAUUAUAUGACCAACUCAAUUGGAUGGUCCUUUGGAUAUUCAAUGCUAUUGUACUGGUUUGUUUCUUCUUGGGCUAUAAAUUCAUAAGUAGAUUCUGAUUUUGAGCAGGGAAGGGGUGCGCCACGCCACACAAGCAACCACUCAAACAUAGACUUUGAAUGGUUGAGAAGCAAUGCCUAUUUGCUUUAUUUUUGUUGGCCCAGUGGGUAGUUUGGAAUAGA